rnacentral:rRNA from 1 species
GACGAACGCUGGCGGCGUGCUUAACACAUGCAAGUCGAACGGAGUGGCGAACGGGUGAGUAACACGUGGGUGAUCUGCCUUGCACUUCGGGAUAAGCUUGGGAAACUGGGUCUAAUACCGGAUAGUGCAAGAUGAGCUCGCGGCCUAUCAGCUUGUUGGUGGGGUAAUGGCCUACCAAGGCGUCGACGGGUAGCCGGCCUGAGAGGGUGUACGGGCAAAGUGGGAAUGGGCUUCGGGCCCGACCCCCACGGGGGGCAGGAGGGGGGAAUAUUGCAAAAUUGGCGGAAGCCUGAAGGAGGGACGCCGGGUGGGGGAUGAAGGCCUUCGGGUUGUAAACUCCUUUCGACAGGGACGCGGUACCUGUAUAAGAAGCACCGGCUAACUACGUGCCAGCCGCCGCGGUAAUAC